UAUAUAAAUAAACUUUUUCGCUUUUUGGUCCUGGGUUCUAAUCUUAUUUUGCAUGUAUCCGAGACUAACCAAACCUUUAAUAUUUUCAUUGGCGGCAGUAACAGAAGCACCACUUCGAUGUCACAGUACGAAGAGAAACCUAUUGUCGGUGUAAUGUUGGCACUGACAUUCGUGUAGUUUUUAUUGAAUUUCAAAUUACUGCUCAGAUCGUAAUAAAUUUAUCAAAAGAAAGUACAAUAUAAUUGUAUUAUAAAUACAUAUAUAGGUUAUCAUUGUAAUGACUCAUGAAGGUAUUCAGCUAGGAUCUUUAUAAAGUAGAAGAAAAUUCUCUAACCUAACCACAUGUUGACACAUAUUUUUUGCUCGGCUAAUUCAAAGUGAGUGUGUGUUUUUAAGCUGAGAGUAGUGAAUGAAAAGAUUUUAUGAGUGAUGUGUUCUUUUUUGACGGUAUAUAGUGUGCAUAAUAGAGCGAAUAGACAAAAUAUAAGUUAUAUCUUUUAUUUUGAUGAAAAUAUUCUAUUCAAUUUCGAUUCAUUGUGAAAUCUGUUGAAGAGAUGGAGAUAGUUAAUGGAAAAAAGUUAAUAGAAGAUGAUCAUGAACUUGAGAAAAUUAACACAGGACGAACCGACGAAGGGAAAGCAAAAGAAGCAAACAUAGCAGCCACAAAGAAAAAGGAUGGCGAGGAGGACGCCGAUUACGAGAAUGACACACCUUGUGCUUCCCGAAUGCAACCUAGCGCAUCGGUGAAGAUUAACAUCGAUGGUAUGAGAUGUCAAAGCUGCGUGAAGAACAUCGAAAGAACGAUCGGUGAUCGACCGGGGGUGGUGAACAUCAAGGUAGUCCUGGAAGAAAAGACUGCUUACAUCGAAUAUAAUACAGUGGAAACUACGGCCAGUCGGUUAGUUGAAGCUAUAGAAGAUAUGGGUUUUACGGCUUCCUUGUGCGGAGAUGAAAACAGCUCUGUCGAAAACGAACGAAAUGGUUCUUUGCAGUCCAGCAUUAGCCAUUGUAGCAUACACGUUGAUGGAAUUACUUGUAUGUCUUGCGUCAAAAGUAUUACAGAUGUUUUAUCGGAGAAACCAGGAAUAAAGGAGGUGAAUGUCAGCUUGGAAAAGGAAGCAAAAGUUUCCUACAACGACAACGAAGUUACGGCUGAACAAAUAGCAAAGUAUAUCGAAGAAAUGGGUUUUACCGCAGUCGUGAAAGAAAUAAAUGGCAAGAGUCUUGAUGCCAUGGUAAACGUGCCAUUGAAAAACAAUAAUGUAGAAAAUGGUGAUGUAUCGUUUCAAGUAAACGGCGGAGGUGACGUGAAAGCUCAGUCUCAAUUGACAAAAUGUUUUUUACACAUAACGGGAAUGACUUGCGCUUCCUGUGUUGCUGCUAUAGAAAAACAUUGUAAAAAAUUGUAUGGCGUAAGCAACAUCUUGGUAGCAUUGAUGGCAGCCAAAGCAGAAGUCAUGUUUGAUCCCGAUAAAAUAAGAGCAAGUGAUAUUGCUGCUAGUAUAUCCGAACUGGGCUUUCCGACCACGUUGAUAGAAGAACCAGGGACAGGAGAAGGAGAGAUUGAAUUAAAAAUUAUGGGUAUGACAUGCGCCUCUUGCGUAAAUAAGAUAGAGUCGACUGUAAAAAAAUUGCCAGGUGUUCUCUCGGCUGCUGUUGCGCUAGCAACUCAGCGAGGUAAAUUUAGAUACGACGUAGAGAAAAUUGGUGUUAGAGACAUUAUCGAAUGCAUUAACAAGUUGGGUUUCAACGCUACAUUGUUUAGUAAUAAAGAUAAGGAGAACAGAGAUUAUUUAGAUCAAAAAGAAGAAAUAAAUAAAUGGCGAGCAGCAUUUUUAGUAUCUUUAAUUUUUGGCAUACCAUGUAUGCUAGCUAUGACUUAUUUUAUGGUUAUUAUGUCCGUGGACGAGAAAACGCACGAAGACAUGUGCUGUAUCGUACCUGGUCUUUCUUGGGAAAACUUGAUUCUUUUUAUAUUUUCUACACCGGUCCAGUUUUUUGGUGGCUGGCAUUUUUACGUACAAGCUUAUAAGGCUUUAAAACACGGUACAACCAACAUGGACGUUUUAAUUUCUAUGACCACCACGAUCUCUUAUUUAUAUUCCGUUGCUGUACUUACAGCAGCUAUGAUAAUGCAGGAACAUGUUAGUCCUCAAACAUUUUUUGAUACUCCUCCCAUGUUACUGGUAUUUAUUAGUUUAGGAAGAUGGUUGGAGCACGUUGCAAAGGGCAAAACUUCGGAAGCUCUGUCAAAGUUGUUGUCGUUAAAAGCAACGGAUGCUGUUCUAGUUCACCUAGGUCCUAACAAUGAGAUACUGUCUGAGCGUUUAAUCAGUAUAGAUUUGGUACAACGAGGUGACGUAUUGAAAGUAGUACCAGGUGCCAAAGUUCCUGUUGACGGUAGAGUUCUCUCAGGACAGUCUACCUGCGACGAGAGUCUAAUAACUGGAGAAAGUAUGCCAGUGCCAAAAAGAAAAGGGUCAAUUGUCAUUGGCGGCUCGAUAAAUCAAAAUGGGCCAUUAUUAAUUACUGCCACGCACACGGGAGAACACACGACAUUGGCACAAAUAGUUCGUUUAGUGGAAGAGGCACAGACGAAUAAAGCGCCUAUACAACAUUUAGCCGAUAAAAUAGCCGGUUAUUUCAUUCCACUCGUUAUAGCCGUUUCUAUUGUAACCUUAUUCAUCUGGAUCAUAGUGGGAUACAUCAAUAUAAAUAAAUUACCGAUUUCGCACAACGAUCAGAUAAAUAAACAUGGAAUGAACAGAGAGGAAAUAAUAUUUCAGUACGCUUUUCGAAGCGCACUUUCUGUGCUAGCAAUCGCCUGUCCAUGCGCGUUAGGAUUAGCUACGCCAACUGCCGUGAUGGUCGGCACCGGUGUCGGUGCGCUAAACGGUAUUUUAAUAAAAGGUGCUGAACCUUUAGAGAAUGCGCACAAAGUUAAGUGCAUCGUGUUCGAUAAAACUGGCACUAUCACGCAUGGUGUGCCAAUGGUAACAAAAAUAAAUCUUUUCGCGAACGAAAAGAUUUGCCCAUUAGCAAAAUUUUUAGUUAUCGUUUGUACGGCUGAAACGAAUAGCGAGCAUCCUAUUGCAUCGGCUAUUGUCAGAUACGUAAGAGAAACAAUUGGGUCUGAUGCAACUGGACAGUGUACAAAUAUUCAGGUAGUCGCUGGUUGUGGACUCAAGUGUAAAGUAUCGCAUAUUUCAACGUCUCUAGCCACCGCUUUAAAGUCUGAAAAAAUCGUCAACUAUAUGAAUCAAGUCGAAAAGUUGUCUUCUGGAACGUGCACCUUGAACGAAGUAUCUAUCGAUGUUGUAUCUGUAGCGUGCUCGAGCCAAGAGAGACAGAAUAUAGAUUUGGAAUUGUUGCUGAGUCCAGACUCCCAUGGCGAUCAAACUAAUUCAGAUGACGUCUACGAAAUUUGUAUCGGUAACAGGGAAUGGAUGAGAAGAAAUGCUGUAAAUAUACCUUCAGAGGUAGAGUCGAAAAUGACGAGCGAAGAAGAUUUAGGUCAUACCGCGGUUUUAGCUGCAGUGAAUAACGUAUUAGUGGCAAUGAUCAGCGUCGCUGAUACGGUCAAGCCAGAAGCUCAUCUGGCAAUUUAUACUUUAAAGAAAAUGGGUUUGGAGGUGAUUCUCUUAACAGGAGAUAACAGAAAAACUGCUGCCUCUAUUGCUAGACAAGUUGGUAUUAGUAGAGUAUUUGCAGAAGUACUACCUUCGCAUAAAGUUGCAAAAAUUCAACGCCUACAAGAUCAAGGCUUAAGAGUUGCGAUGGUAGGAGAUGGCGUAAAUGAUAGCCCUGCUCUCGCUCAAUCGGACGUGGGUAUAGCAAUAUCAUCGGGUACAGAUGUUGCUGUAGAAGCUGCGGAUGUAGUUCUUAUGCGAAAUGAUCUUCUGGAUGUCAUUGCGUGUCUGGAUUUGUCGCGAAAAACAGUUCGCCGUAUUAGACUGAAUUUCUUAUUCGCUAGUAUUUAUAAUCUGUUAGGUAUUCCUAUCGCCGCUGGAAUUUUUAGUUCUUUUGGAUUCUUUUUACAACCUUGGAUGUCAUCAGCGGCGAUGGCAUUAAGUUCUGUAUCAGUGGUUGGAAGUUCUUUGUUACUCAAAUUAUACCGUAAGCCAACAAAAGCAAAGUUGGAAACUCCAGAAUAUUUAACAGCAAUGCGUGCCCAUUCUACAGCGAGAAUGAUAGAUUUGGACACGAUAUCUCUUCAUCGUGGUUUAGACGAUUCGGUAAUGCCUAUUAUGCACAGAUCAACAUCGACGUUAUCCAGUCUUUAAUUUGCAUAUUCCUUUGCAUGCUUCUGCAUUUAUUUUCUUUGAAAUUUAUAUGUGUAAGCUUCUUGGAAGGUUCAAAAUACUGCAACUACAUCUGAGAAGGCACUGCGGCACAAGUUUUCUAUUGGUUAAAAUAAGAAUGGUGUGCGAUUACAGCAUCUUUAUUCUUGGGUUAAUUUCGCAGUGUAUUUGCAUUAAUCUGCUUACAACAGGUAGUAUAGACUAUGAAAUCAAAAUGUAUAUAAAGUAUGUCGUGACUAACUUGAUUACUGAAUCUGUGUUUCAUCAAAUUUAAUAUUGAUAGUACUCUAUUUAGUUUUAUUGUGUAUUAUUUGUACUAUCUAUUUUGUUUUAUCUAAUACAAAAUAAGAAAUUAAAUCAAAAUUAUGAAUUAAGUAUAAAUCACCUUUAAACAUGAAGUAAGAUUAUUCAGAAAAUCUAAAGACGAUUUAGAGGGUCGACUUCUUGGUGGAGAUGUUGAUGAAAUUGACUUGGUAACU
rnacentral:misc_RNA from 1 species